rnacentral:tRNA from 1 species
UAUGGCAGAUUAGUGCAAUAAGCUUAAGAUUUAUAUAUAAAGUAACCCUUUUUUUAG